CUUUGAUAUUUUUAAAAAUACAAGAUGGCAUUAAAUAUCGACGAUGUCUUAAAUGCGAUAAGUAACGAAAAUUUUGAUUUCGAUGCUCCUGGAAUACAAUCAGAUGAAGAAGAAUACUUGGACAGACGUUUGACGAUGUCAGAUAGCGACUCAAGGCAAGUAUUUACAUGUUUUUAGCGAACAGAUGUUUUCAUGUCAUGGUCGAAGGAUUAAAUUUACAUUCGACACAACGUGAACUUUGACGCACAUUUGCCAUAAGAAUUUGGUCUGUAAUCUAAGAUCUGAUACGAAAUAUAACAAAUAUACAAACAAUCGAUAUAAUAAGGCAUUUAUUUGAGAGUUCUGUUAUUUAUAUUGCCACAAAAAUCAAAGGUUUGAACCGAUAUCAAAAUGUGUGAGUGUCGUGUUGCACACAUGGCAUAAGUGGGCAUUUAAAAAAUUAAUUUAUGCAUUUUUGUUUAUAUGAAGUAAGAUAAUACCAUGUAUCAGUAUGUUUAUAGUGUUUUAUUUUUUUAUAGUGAUGAAGAACCUGUUGAUGAAGAUGAUGAUGAUUUUGAAGUAGAUGACGAGGAUCCGGAU